CGAUGUGAGGGCGAUCUGACUGCGACAUCUGUCACCCCAUUGAUCACCGGGGUUGAUUUGGCUGAUCUGGCUGGCUAGGCAGGUGUCCCCUUCCUCCCUCACCGCUCCAUGUGUGUCCCUCCCGAAGCUGUGCGGUGGGUCAAAGAGGACGACCAUCCCUGAUAGAGGAGCACCGUUCUUCAGUCAAGGGUAUACGAGUAGCUGUGCUCCCCUGCUAGACCCUCCAAACAAGCUCUCAAAAUCACCAAAGCAAAAUGGAUUGGAAGUGUGGCCCUAAGGUUAAACCCCAGU
rnacentral:snRNA from 1 species